CGCGAGCAAGUUACAAACAUACGCGAGCCAACAUAGCUUAUUUAAUAAAUAUUGAAAAAUGCGAGUGUUAUAUCUAUCGUUUGCUUUUGCCAUAAUUUUUCUUAUGGCGAUCAUGUACGCACCCAUAACGGAAGCAGAAGCUAAUGCAACGAGUCUGGUCAACCAAAAUACUUCAUCUGAUAUAGUUAUUCGUUUCGGAAAGAAGUAGCACUUUUCGUGGAAUAAAAUUCAAGUAAAACUUACAACCAAAAAACUAGAAGAAAGAUUGCAAUAGAAGUGUGAGACUACAAAGAAUGCAUAUAAAUGAUAUUAUGUAUAUAUAUUUUUUAAGCAAAAAUAUAUAAAUUAUAUUUGUCUGUAUUGUAUUAAA